UCUCUCACAAAAGUCUGCUUUUAUCACUCUUAAAUCUCGACUUCUCUCUGCAUCUCUCACUCAUCUCUCAGCUCUGUCUCUCUCACUCUUGACGUACCCUACCAUUGGAUGUCGUUUGCCAUUGCAAAUCUGCAAGUAAAGCUUCUUGCCAUUGCUGAUCUGCAAGUAAAGCUUCAAUUUCCAUAUUAAGGUCACUUUGCUCUUCAUUUUUUGGGGCUUCUAUGUACAAGCUUGGAAGCCAAUUAUGUUCAAGAUUAUGGAUGCAUGAGUGGUUGCUGGUUGAUGUGAUUUCUCCCUACCGCAUCACAUCCAGAAGAUCAGGUUUAAUAAUUUUCGCAC